rnacentral:lncRNA from 1 species
AAUUGCCUGGACUAUAUCAGCAGGUACACAACACAUUUAAAAAUGCUUCAGUAAAUAAAAUAUGAUGAUAGGAAAUACAAAUUGUAAAUUGUCAUCUUAUCCUUUUCAGGAAUUCAGAUUUUAAACUACUGUUAUUUUGGACCUUAAAUUGGGAAGUCAUAUUGCGAUGCUAAGAUUGCCCAUUUGUGAACAAAAAUUAAAACAUGUGUGGCUUCAGGACUUGAUAUUUAAGUAGCAGAAGAUAUGAAAUGGCGAUUGAUCAUGGAAAAGGUAGGCAUAAAAAAUGUUUUUUAAACUAUCUGCUCUGUGCAGUUUUUUUUUAUGAGACAAAAAUUUAUAAAAAACUGAUAGAGGAAAUAAUUGUGGUAUGUUGACUAAAAUCCCUUUAUGGCAUAUUAGUGGAAAUAAUUGAGGUAUGUUGACUAAAAUCCCUUUAUGGCAUAUUACUCAAAGUAUUAAAGGGUAUAACACUAAAGGGAGUUAACUCUAUUAACGUCAGCUUUUAAUCAAAUGCUAAUAGUAAAAAAAAUUCGUAAGGGUUCCGCGGAACCCAGUGUCUCGCCUACUUUUGCUGUUAAUCGCAGACUCAACAAAAUGAGGAAAAACAUCAAUAAAAAUUUCCUUCUCGAUACUGUCUUUUGAUUGAAAGAAGCUUUCAAGUUUGGUAAAAAAUCCAGGAUAGUUUAUGAAUCUAAUAAAUGUUGUAUAAACUUUAACUGCAGACUGUAUGUAAUGUUAACUGGAAGAAAAACUAAGUCCAUUUAUAAGUAAAAUACGGAAAAGUGGAAAUUUAUUUUUACAAAAUUUCUUCUUGAUACUAUCUUAUGAUUAUAAACAAGCUUCUGUCCAAGUUUGGUACAAAUCAAGGAUAGUUUAUGAAAGUUAUUAAAAUUUAAAAAACUUUAACCACAGAGUGAAUGUAAUGUUUCCUCGCAGAAAAACUAAGUCCAUUUAUAAGUAAAAUACGGAAAAGUGGAAAUUUAUUUUUACAAAAUAUUCUUCUUGAUACUAUCUUAUGAUCAUAAACAAGCUUCUGUCCAAGUUUGGUACAAAUCAAGGAUAGUUUAUGAAAGUUAUUAAAAUUUUUAAAACUUUAACCACAGAGUGAAUGUAAUGUUUCCUCGCAGAAAAACAAAGUCCAUUUAUAAGUAAAAUACGGAAAAAAUGGAAUUUUAUUUUUACAAAAUUUACUUCUGGAUACUUUCUUAUGAUCAUUAACAAGCUUCUGUCCAAGUUUGGUAGAAAUUCAGUAUAGUUUAAGAAAGUUAUUAAAAUUUCAAAAACUUUAACCACAGAGUGAAUAUUUGUGGACGCCGACGCCGACGGAACGUAGGAUCGCUUAGUCUCGCUUUUUCGACUAAAGUCGAAGGCUCAACAAAAAUGAAGCUCCUCAUGUAUCAAUGAUCAAAAUAGUGUUUGUCAAACUGGUAUAUAUACAAUGAAGUUAUACCUUUAAAUUAUGUGGUUUAACUUUUUUGUUUAUUUUUGCCAACAGGUCAAAGUUUAAUCAAUUUUAAACAAGCACAAUCCAUGUUAGGCAAAUUGUUAGGUAUCCCCUUAAGUGUAGCCCUUAGAUUUGUUCUCUCUUUAUAUAAAUACACUGCUUUUGUAAGAGAUAUACAAUUUUUUUAACCUUUAUGGUACAGUAUCUGAAUAUAUCCACAACAGGGAAUGAGGGACUACUUUUAAAAAGUAAUUUUCAGCAACUGUUUCCUGUAAACUGAAAUGUAGAUUGGAUAAUGUAAUGUUUUUGGUUUUUGCAAAGUGAUAUAACACAUAGAACACAAAUCUAUCUUAAUAUCUGACUCUAAGGAACCAGUUAAAUUUUAUAUUUGACCAUCAAAAGUUGAAGUAUUUUUAGUUAAUUUACUACUUCAUUACUUCAGAGAUUAUACAUUAUGGUGUCAUUUGUUUACAUUUGUGUUCUCUCUGUAAAAAAAAUCAUAGUGAUGAGCAGAGGCCUUUACAUUAAGAGAAAUAUAUACUUCAUAUAGAUACACACCUUCUAUGACUAUGAUCAACAUGUUUCAUCCUGUGUAGUUAUUCAAAUAUUAUUCUAUAAAGGCUGACAGUAUACGAUAUCUGAUUGAUUUGAGUUUUAAUUGAUUUUAAUUGAUCUCUGUUUUGUUAAUAGUAGUAUAUUUUUAUUUUUCAGGUGCUGCUGGUAGUCAUGUUGCAGUAGCACAUAUUGGCACAUCCAAACAAAUCC